rnacentral:lncRNA from 1 species
UCAUAGUACUUAUCGAGGGACUGGGCCUAAUGCUGGAAGAAUGAUGUCCCGGUGUCCACUAUGGCCAGAGGGGUGCGGAUACAUGUUUUGGAUCGAUGACCCACUUGAGGCGCGUGCUACUGCAGUGCUUACUGAGAUGACUAAGGAGAUGAGCGACCUCAUAUGGGAUCAUCACUUUGCAAAGGAGAGGAUUAGGGAGAGGCAUGAUGAAGAACUUAAAUC